rnacentral:rRNA from 1 species
GACGAACGCUGGCGGCGUGCUUAACACAUGCAAGUCGAACGGAAAGGCCCUGCUUGCAGGGUACUCGAGUGGCGAACGGGUGAGUAACACGUGGGUGCUUUGCCCUGCACUUCGGGAUAAGCCUGGGAAACUGGGUCUAAUACCGGAUAGGAGCCAUUUUUAGUGUGAUGGUUGGAAAGUUUUUUCGGUGUAGGAUGAGCUCGCGGCCUAUCAGCUUGUUGGUGGGGUAAUGGCCUACCAAGGCGGCGACGGGUAGCCGGCCUGAGAGGGUGGACGGCCACAUUGGGACUGAGAGACGGCCCAGACGCCUACGGGAGGCAGCAGGGGGGAAGAUUGCACAAUGGGCGCAAGCCUGAUGCAGCGACGCCGCGGGGGGGAUGACGGCCUUCGGGUUGGAAACUCCUUUCGCUAGGGACGAAGCUUUUUGUGACGGUACCUAGAUAAGAAGCACCGGCUAACUACGUG